rnacentral:rRNA from 1 species
CCGAAUGGGGAAACCCAGUGUGAUUCGUCACACUAUCAUUAACUGAAUCCAUAGGUUAAUGAGGCGAACCGGGGGAACUGAAACAUCUAAGUACCCCGAGGAAAAGAAAUCAACCGAGAUUCCCCCAGUAGCGGCGAGCGAACGGGGAGGAGCCCAGAGCCUGAAUCAGCAUGUGUGUUAGUGGAAGCGUCUGGAAAGGCGCGCGAUACAGGGUGACAGCCCCGUACACAAAAGCGCAUGUGCUGUGAGCUCGAUGAGUAGGGCGGGACACGUGGUAUCCUGUCUGAAUAUGGGGGGACCAUCCUCCAAGGCUAAAUACUCCUGACUGACCGAUAGUGAACCAGUACCGUGAGGGAAAGGCGAAAAGAACCCCGGCGAGGGGAGUGAAAAAGAACCUGAAACCGUGUACGUACAAGCAGUGGGAGCACAGGUUUACCUGUGUGACUGCGUACCUUUUGUAUAAUGGGUCAGCGACUUAUAUUCUGUAGCAAGGUUAACCG